UACGUAGGGUGCGAGCGUUACUCGGAAUUACUGGGCGUAAAGCGUGCGUAGGUGGUUUGUUGUGUCUGUGGUGAAAGCCCCGGGCUUAACCUGGGAAUGGCCAUGGAAACUGGCGAGCUGGAGUCUGGCAGAGGGGGGUGGAAUUCCGCGUGUAGCAGUGAAAUGCGUAGAGAUGCGGAGGAACACCGAUGGCGAAGGCAGCCCCCUGGGCUAAGACUGACGCUGAGGCAUGAAAGCGUGGGGAGUAAACAGG
rnacentral:rRNA from 1 species